rnacentral:rRNA from 1 species
GCUUAGAGAGGGGUCAAUGUCCUAUUAGCUAGUUGGUAGGGUAAUGGCCUACCAAGGCUAAGACGGGUAGCCGGCCUGAGAGGGUGGUCGGCCACACUGGGACUGAGACACUGCCCAGACUCCUACGGGAGGCUGCAGUCGAGAAUCUUUCGCAAUGCCCGAAAGGGUGAUGAAGCGACGCCGCGUGUGGGAAGAAGGCCUUCGGGUUGUAAACCACUGUCGGGAGUUAAGAAAUGCAAGGGUGUUAAUAGCAUCCUUGCUUGACUAAGGCUCCGGAGGAAGCCACGGCUAACUCUGUGCCAGCAGCCGCGGUAAUACAGAGGCGGCAAGCGUUGUUCGGAAUUAUUGGGCGUAAAGAGCACGUAGGCGGCUUUGUAAGUCAGUUGUGAAAGCCUUCUGCUCAACGGAAGAACAGCAUCUGAUACUGCAAGGCUAGAGUGCGGAAGGG